GGUGUGACUGCGUACCUUUUGUAUAAUGGGUCAGCGACUUAUAUUCUGUAGCAAGGUUAACCGUAUAGGGGAGCCGCAGGGAAACCGAGUCUUAACUGGGCGUUAAGUUGCAGGGUAUAGACCCGAAACCCGGUGAUCUAGCCAUGGGCAGGUUGAAGGUUGGGUAACACUAACUGGAGGACCGAACCGACUAAUGUUGAAAAAUUAGCGGAUGACUUGUGGCUGGGGGUGAAAGGCCAAUCAAACCGGGAGAUAGCUGGUUCUCCCCGAAAGCUAUUUAGGUAGCGCCUCGUGAACUCAUCUUCGGGGGUAGAGCACUGUUUCGGCUAGGGGGUCAUCCCGACUUACCAACCCGAUGCAAACUACGAAUACCGAAGAAUGUUAUCACGGGAGACACACGGCGGGUGCUAACGUCCGUCGUGAAGAGGGAAACAACCCAGACCGCCAGCUAAGGUCCCAAAGUCAUGGUUAAGUGGGAAACGAUGUGGGAAGGCACAGACAGCCAGGAUGUUGGCUUAGAAGCAGCCAUCAUUUAAAGAAAGCGUAAUAGCUCACUGGUCGAGUCGGCCUGCGCGGAAGAUGUAACGGGGCUAAACCAUGCACCGAAGCUGCGGCAGCGACACUAUGUGUUGUUGGGUAGGGGAGCGUUCUGUAAGCCUGCGAAGGUGACCUGUGAGGGUUGCUGGAGGUAUCAGAAGUGCGAAUGCUGACAUAAGUAACGAUAAAGCGGGUGAAAAGCCCGCUCGCCGGAAGACCAAGGGUUCCUGUCCAACGUUAAUCGGGGCAGGGUGAGUCGACCCCUAAGGCGAGGCCGAAAGGCGUAGUCGAUGGGAAACAGGUUAAUAUUCCUGUACUUGGUGUUACUGCGAAGGGGGGACGGAGAAGGCUAUGUUAGCCGGGCGACGGUUGUCCCGGUUUAAGCAUGUAGGCUGGUUAUCCAGGCAAAUCCGGAUAAUCAAGGCUGAGGUGUGAUGACGAGGCACUACGGUGCUGAAGUAACAAAUGCCCUGCUUCCAGGAAAAGCCUCUAAGCAUCAGGUAACAUCAAAUCGUACCCCAAACCGACACAGGUGGUCAGGUAGAGAAUACCAAGGCGCUUGAGAGAACUCGGGUGAAGGAACUAGGCAAAAUGGUGCCGUAACUUCGGGAGAAGGCACGCUGGUGUGUAGGUGAAGUCCCUGCGGAUGGAGCUGAGACCAGUCGAAGAUACCAGCUGGCUGCAACUGUUUAUUAAAAACACAGCACUGUGCAAACACGAAAGUGGACGUAUACGGUGUGACGCCUGCCCGGUGCCGGAAGGUUAAUUGAUGGGGUUAUCCGUAAGGAGAAGCUCUUGAUCGAAGCCCCGGUAAACGGCGGCCGUAACUAUAACGGUCCUAAGGUAGCGAAAUUCCUUGUCGGGUAAGUUCCGACCUGCACGAAUGGCGUAAUGAUGGCCAGGCUGUCUCCACCCGAGACUCAGUGAAAUUGAACUCGCUGUGAAGAUGCAGUGUACCCGCGGCAAGACGGAAAGACCCCGUGAACCUUUACUAUAGCUUGACACUGAACAUUGAGCCUUGAUGUGUAGGAUAGGUGGGAGGCUUUGAAGCGUGGACGCCAGUCUGCGUGGAGCCAACCUUGAAAUACCACCCUUUAAUGUUUGAUGUUCUAACGUGGGCCCCUAAUCGGGGUUGCGGACAGUGUCUGGUGGGUAGUUUGACUGGGGCGGUCUCCUCCCAAAGCGUAACGGAGGAGCACGAAGGUUAGCUAAUCCUGGUCGGACAUCAGGAGGUUAGUGCAAUGGCAUAAGCUAGCUUGACUGCGAGCGUGACGGCGCGAGCAGGUGCGAAAGCAGGUCAUAGUGAUCCGGUGGUUCUGAAUGGAAGGGCCAUCGCUCAACGGAUAAAAGGUACUCCGGGGAUAACAGGCUGAUACCGCCCAAGAGUUCAUAUCGACGGCGGUGUUUGGCACCUCGAUGUCGGCUCAUCACAUCCUGGGGCUGAAGUAGGUCCCAAGGGUAUGGCUGUUCGCCAUUUAAAGUGGUACGCGAGCUGGGUUUAGAACGUCGUGAGACAGUUCGGUCCCUAUCUGCCGUGGGCGCUGGAGAAUUGAGGGGGGCUGCUCCUAGUACGAGAGGACCGGAGUGGACGCAUCACUGGUGUUCGGGUUGUCAUGCCAAUGGCACUGCCCGGUAGCUAAAUGCGGAAGAGAUAAGUGCUGAAAGCAUCUAAGCACGAAACUUGCCCCGAGAUGAGUUCUCCCUGAGACUNNNUAAGUCUCCUGAAGGAACGUUGAAGACGACGACGUUGAUAGGCCGGGUGUGUAAGCGCAGCGAUGCGUUGAGCUAACCGGUACUAAUGAACCGUGAGGCUUAACCUU
rnacentral:rRNA from 1 species